rnacentral:rRNA from 1 species
UACUAGCGGUCCGAGUCGCAGCCAUUUUUAUUGGGUCUAAAACAUCCGUAGCUUGCUUAAUAAGUUCUCUGUGAAAUCUCAUUUCUUAAAGAUGAGGCGUGCUAGGAAUACUGUUAAGCUAGAGACUGGAAGACGUAAGAAGUAUGUUCAAAGUAGUGGUAAAAUGCUUUAAUCUUGGACAGACUCACAAUAGCGAAGGCAUCUUACGAGGACAGUUCUGACAGUAAAGGAUGAAGGCUAGGGGCGCAAACCGGAUUAGAUACCCGCGUA